rnacentral:tRNA from 1 species
GGGGUUGUGGCUCAGUGGCAGAGCGCUUGCCUAGCAUGUGUGAGGCCCUGGGUUCAAUCCUCAGCACCA